rnacentral:misc_RNA from 1 species
CCGAGUUGAUUCGAGCUCCGGCUCGACUCUCCCACCCUCUGUUUACCUACCUCUGUUGCUUUGGCGGGCAGGCCCCCGGGCCCCCGCCAGAGGAAUUCAAAACUCCAGUCAGUGAACGUCUCAGUCUGAAAAACAAGUUAAUAAACUA